GGCCGGUUAGCUCAGCUGGUUAGAGCGUGGUGCUAAUAACGCCAAGGUCUAAGUUCCACCCCCGUACGGGCCA
rnacentral:tRNA from 1 species